GGUUAGAGCGCAUCGUUGACAUCGAUGAGGUCGGCGAUUCGAAUUCGCCUAGUCCUACCA
rnacentral:tRNA from 1 species